AUGCAGUCGAACGAGAAAGCCCUUCGGGGUGAGUAAAGUGGCGAACGGGUGAGUAACACGUGGGCAAUCUGCCCCUCGCAGGGGGACAACCGGGGGAAACCCCGGCUAAUACCCCGUAAGCUCGAAAGGCCGCAUGGCCCUUCGAGGAAAGGUAGCUUCGGCCAUCCGGCGAGGGAUGAGCCCGCGGUGCAUUAGCUAGUUGGUGGGGUAACGGCCCACCAAGGCGACGAUGCAUAGCUGGUCUGAGAGGAUGAUCAGCCACACUGGGACUGAGACACGGCCCAGACUCCUACGGGAGGCAGCAGUCGGGAAUCUUGCGCAAUGGGCGAAAGCCUGACGCAGCAACACCGUGUGUGUGACGAAGGCCUUCGGGUCGUAAAGCACUGUUGUUGGGGACGAAGGGCGAAGGGUUAAUAGCCCCGAGCUUGACGGUACCCUUCGAGGAAGCCCCGGCUAACUACGUGCCAGCAGCCGCGGUAAUACGUAGGGGGCGAGCGUUGUCCGGAAUUAUUGGGCGUAAAGAGCGUGUAGGCGGUUCGGUAAGUCUGCUGUGAAAUCUUGGGGCUCAACCCCGGGCGUGCAGCGGAUACUGCCGGGCUAGAGGGUGGUAGAGGCGAGUGGAAUUCCCGGUGUAGCGGUGAAAUGCGCAGAUAUCGGGAGGAACACCAGUAGCGAAGGCGGCUCGCUGGGCCACACCUGACGCUGAGACGCGAAAGCGUGGGGAGCGAACAGGAUUAGAUACCCUGGUAGUCCACGCCGUAAACGAUGGACACUAGGUGUGGGCGGAGUCGAAUCUGUCCGUGCCGAANCCAACGCGAUAAGUGUCCCNCNUGGGGAGUACGGCCGCANGNUUAAAACUCAAANGAAUUGACGGGGGCCCNCACAAGCAGCGGAACAUGUUCUUUAUUNCNAUGCAACCNGAAAACCUUACUUG
rnacentral:rRNA from 1 species